UAAAAACAUAAAAAAACGCUGAAAACACCAGUUCUCGUCCGAUCACUGCAGUUAAACAGCGUUGGGCAUAGUUAAUAUUUGGAUGAUGACCACCGGGGAACACCGUGUACUGUUAGCGU
rnacentral:rRNA from 1 species